CUGCAAAACCCAGGGCGCGAGCCCGGGCGGAGCGGUCGUCGGUGCAGAUCUUGGUGGUAGUAGCAAAUACUCAAAUGAGAACUUUGAGGACUGAAGUGGGGAAAGGUUCCAUGUGAACAGCAGUUGGACAUGGGUAAGUCGAUCCUAAGACAUAGGGAAACUCCGUUUUAAAGUGCGCAUUACGCGCCGCCCGUCGAAAGGGAAGCCGGUUAAAAUUCCGGCACCUGGAUGAGGAUUCUCCACGGCAACGUAACUGAACUCGGAGACGUCGGCGGGGGCCCUGGGAAG
rnacentral:rRNA from 1 species